rnacentral:rRNA from 1 species
UACGUAGGGUGCAAGCGUUGUCCGGAAUUAUUGGGCGUAAAGAGCUUGUAGGCGGUUUGUCGCGUCUGCUGUGAAAUUUCGGGGCUCAACCCCGAACUUGCAGUGGGUACGGGCAGACUAGAGUGCGGUAGGGGAGACUGGAAUUCCUGGUGUAGCGGUGAAAUGCGCAGAUAUCAGGAGGAACACCGGUGGCGAAGGCGGCCUGCUGGGGUGGAGCUGACGCUGAGGCGCGACAGCGUGGGGAGCAAACAGG